AUGUAUGAUGAUAUAUAGUGAAUACAGACCUUGCCGGCGUCCUGCCAGGUGACGCCGGUGAGGGACUCGACGGCAAGGGCGCCGAGGGUGGCGAGCAUGGCCCAGCGGCCGUGGAUGAGCUCGCACUCGCGGAAGCGCUGCAGGCCGAAGACCUCGCUGUAGGGCUGGAAGGGCGUGGACUUGACGUCGGCGGUCUCGGAACGCGUGCCGAUGACGUCGCCGGCCGAGUUCUUGGCCAAAUUCUGGUCCAGCGAAUCCAGCUCGAACUGCAAGUACUCGGCCGGCUUGCCCAGGCCGAAGGGGUCGAAGCCGUAGUCGCCGACCAGCGAGCCGUCCAGCCACUCCGGCGCCUUCGCGCCCGGGUACCACAGCGGCCGGUCCGUGCCCCCCGACGUGGCUUUCUUUUUCGGGGCCGAUUUCUUCUUUCCGAACCCGAACCGCGCCGCGAACCGGCCCCGGGUCUGAACCGGCUCCGCGAGCCGGGUUCCCAGGAACGGCGAGGCUGAUGCGGCGGAGGCCAUGUUAUUAUGCUUUGCUCGGCUUCACCCCAAACCCCCCCCCCCCCCCCCCCCAAAAAAAAAACAANCUAUGCUUUUUAAAAGUAUCAAGUUAUUGACGCUUAUAGAUUUUUGGCCAUUGUAUUAAGGGAUGUGUGGUUAGGAUGAUGUGAGCCCCUUAGAGUUAAGUGGGUAGGUGGUUGGUUAAAUAGUAUAAUCUAACAGUUGAAAAUGAUUAAAGACGUAAAUCUAACGGUAAAUAAUUAAUAGGUACUAAGUGCUUAGUAUUUUUACAAACAUCAUAGCCGAAUUCUUUCUCUCUCUCUAUAUAUAUAUAUGCAUGCAAAUUAAAGACCUAUUACAACCAUAGUUAAUUAAUUGGGAUGUGGUAAAAAUUCAGUACGGAUAAAAUACGAAUAAAAUUUAUAUCUUAAUUUUUAAAUUUAUUAAAAAAUACAGUUUAAAAAUUGAAUUCGUCAAUAAUUCGUAUAUGCGAUUUAUACGAGAAUUUUACGUUUAUUAUUUAAAAAUUCAGAAUAAAAUUUCGUCUAUUAAAUUAAUUUUUUUAGAUUUAUUCUAUUAUUAUAAAUAAUUAUAAUUUUUAUAAAUAUAAAAAUAAACUAAUAUAGACUACUAUAUUAGUUAAUUGGACCCUGCUAUUUCCCAACGCGUAUGCUGCAAUAUCUCCUUCCUCCUCGCUCCUCCUCUUUUCCUCUUUGCUUCGCUCCGUCUUCAUGUUUCUUUCAAAAUUGAACAGGCAAAAUUGCUCGAUUGCUCACGAGAAGGUGCAUGGAUUUGCGGAGCGGUGGUCGCGCGACGCCGAUCCGAAAAUUUCAUCUUUCCGUAGCCGCCCAAUCCAAAUUUUUUUUAGAAAUUUCAUCUUUCCAUCCCUGCUCGAUUCGAAUUUUUCACAAUAUAAUUUGGCAAAGCCGUUUUAAUCGCGAAUAGUUAGAGUAAGGAAAAAAACACGUUUUUUUCUGAUUUUUGAAAAAGAUUUGUAAACGGAGUGUUUUAUACGGUUUGUUGUUUGUUUAUGAAUAAUUCGUGUAUUAUACGCGAAUUAACUAACUAGGAUUACAACAACCAACGGCGACGGGCAGGUAAUAAAAAGCUCCGAAAUGCAUAUAGGCGAUUAAUCAGGUAAUAAUAGUUAAUUUAAAGCUGGUAAAAGCGUUCCAAGUAAAAACAUAACAUUUUUUACAAGAUGACGGAGAUCAUUAAUCGAUCACACAGUACUCCUCUAAUAAUUAACUUCAUAUCCUCACAAAUUAAUCCAGUUUUGAGUGGACUAUGUACUCCAAGAGAGAGAGAUCACAAUGAGAUCAAGCUAGUACGGUAACCGUAGGACACAAUGCAUUUAGGAAGAGGAGGAGGAGGAGGAGGAGAAGGUGUCGAAGAUGGUGGUGUGGAGGGGGUCACUGAGGUGAGUAGCCCAGUUGUUUAGCGGGCCCUUGCCGGUGACGGCGGCUUGGACGGCGAAGCCCAGGAAGGCGACCAUGGCGAGGCGGGCGUGCUUGAUCUCGGCCAGCUGCAAGGUUUCCUUCUUCUCCGGGUCGGAGGCGAGGCCCAGCGGGUCGAAGUACUUCCCCCCGGGAUACAGCCUCUUCUCGGGGUCCAGCUCGGCGUUCCGCUGGAACUCGAUGUACCCGAUGACCAGAACCUCGAUCCAUAUCAGCGUAGUGAUGGAGAAAGGAAGAGGGAGGCCGAGGUACGAAGAUCCAUCCACCAACUCAACCUGAUAUAUAUAUAUAUAUACAUAUAUGAUCGCGCCUCGUCCAAAUUAUAUAAGGAACAUUUCAUAAAUUUGCCAUAUUCAAUUUUCUACAUUUGAUAUAUAUAUAUAUAUCUAUCAUAAAGAGGGAGCAUCAUUGAUGUUAUGUUUGAUGAUGUUGUUCCUACUACGUUCAUAAUUUAGUAAGUAAUGAGCUUCUAAUUGAGGUUCAGAAUUAAUAUAUAUCUUGGUUUGCUUUAAUUGUGAACUACACUUGUACGCACAUAGGGAGCUGGAGCUGAUGGAUAUAUGCAUGAUGAUAUAUAGUAUAUAUAUAUAUAUGUAUAUAUACAGACCUUGCCGGCGUCCUGCCAGGUGACGCCGGUGAGGGACUCGACGGCAAGGGCGCCGAGGGUGGCGAGCAUGGCCCAGCGGCCGUGGAUGAGCUCGCACUCGCGGAAGCGCUGCAGGCCGAAGACCUCGCUGUAGGGCUGGAAGGGCGUCGACUUGACGUCGGCGGUCUCGGAACGCGUGCCGAUGACGUCGCCGGCCGAGUUCUUGGCCAAAUUCUGGUCCAGCGAAUCCAGCUCGAACUGCAAGUACUCGGCCGGCUUGCCCAGGCCGAAGGGGUCGAAGCCGUAGUCGCCGACCAGCGAGCCGUCCAGCCACUCCGGCGCCUUCGCGCCCGGGUACCACAGCGGCCGGUCCGUGCCCCCCGACGUGGCUUUCUUUUUCGGGGCCGA
rnacentral:lncRNA from 1 species